GCCAACUUCACACAGGGAUCCAUUGAAAGAAGACAUCCAAUGGGACGAACAGCAGUGUCAAGAAGCAAUUGCUCUGAUGAAGCAUUCCACGGAUGAAGUUGUAGUGAAGGAGAAAAUGAGGCUAACCCUGGCCUAUCGUCAGAAGUUGCUGCACGAUCCUGAGAAAUCAGCCGACAUCCUAUCUGUUUUUCCUCAUUUCUUGGACAUUCCAGGUUUGAUUGAUCAAGAUUUCAGGAGUCUUUUUGGUGACGCAACCUCUGCAAAGAUGUUGGAGAAGUGGACCACCAACUUUCAAGCAAAGGUUGUUACUCAGUGUCGUGGGCUUACACUGACUGGAGAUGUACAAGACCUCAUCCAAAAUGCUGAAGCCACUGAAGUAGAUGAUGGCUGGGACAGUGACAUGUCAUCAAUGCUGUUGCUGGUUCACCUUCUGCCACCUUCAAGCCAAGGCCGAAAAAGACCAGGGAAAAUCUCAGCCAGACAAGCAUGCGACAGUCUUGUAAAAUUCAUCAAGGUGAGCUUUGUGUGGAACAAAAAGGGUUGGAAAAUACUUCCUCUUUUAUUAUGCUAAUAGUGCUGGGCCAUUGGGUAACGCUUAAAUAACUAACAAAAGGUGGCCACACACGUUGCAUAACACUGACCUUAUUUGCAUUUACGUGUUUCGGCGUUGUCUUCAGAGUGCUUUACAGCGUAUGCGCUAAUAAGUGUUAUGCAUAGUGUGCCCUCUUCCUUUUUACUAAUAUUGUAACUUUGUAAGAAUCCAAAACAUAAUAAAUGAC